GAUGUCUGUGCCGUAUGGAGCAGUGAUGGAAGGGAUGGGUGUUUUGUUUGUUCAUUCAAAGUUUCCUCUGCAGUGGACAGCCUUAGCAAGCCACGGCCCGGUAUGGAGUUGUUGGGUUUUUGCAGCUAGCAUAAAGCCUGUAGAGUGCCAGGGAUUGCUCUCCAUGGAGGUAUGGAAGAAGAACAUCAAAACAUGACACCAGUUCCAGUUCUUGUACCUUCUCCAAGAGAGCCCUCCUGGAGCUCAUUCUGUUCCACCUUGGGUUAUGAAAAACAAUGCAUUUUUUGGCUUUAAAAAGUCAAAGUAGGCACUACUACUUGUCUUCUAAGACUAAGAAAUAUGUGUGCUCUGAUUUAAAAAUGCCUUUGUGUCACAAUCUAUGCCCCCUUGAGCUCAGCUCUUUAUGAGUUUUUCAUAUUAGAAUAUUGCUGUUAUUUAUUAAAUCCCUGAUAAAGCUACACUUAAUGCUCCCAUAAUAGAAUAUACAUCUUUAAAUGUGCUGAAUAUGUGGUUUGUCACUGAUGCAAAGUGUACUGAUUAAUUAAAUAAGACUUAGAGAUUCAUAAAGCAA